UACGUAGGGGGCAAGCGUUGUCCGGAUUUAUUGGGCGUAAAGAGCGUGUAGGCGGCCGCACAGGUCCGUUGUGAAAACUGGAGGCUCAACCUUCAGACGUCGAUGGAAACCGUGCGGCUAGAGUCCGGUAGGGGAGUGUGGAAUUCCCGGUGUAGCGGUGAAAUGCGCAGAUAUCGGGAGGAACACCCGUAGCGAAGGCGGCACUCUGGGCCGUGACUGACGCUGAGGAGCGAAAGCGUGGGGAGCAAACAGG
rnacentral:rRNA from 1 species